UCUGGCGCUAUCCGGUGACGAUUGAAGAGGUCUCUCCCCGCUACCUGGAGGCCUUAAUCAAUUACGAAGAUCGCUGGUUCUGGCGGCACCCUGGCGUUAACCCUUUCUCCGUCGCGCGCGCGGCAUGGCAGGAUCUUACCGCCGGGCGCGUUAUUUCCGGCGGCAGUACGCUGACUAUGCAGGUGGCGAGACUGCUGGACCCGCAUUCGCGCACGUUCGGCGGUAAAAUCCGCCAGCUUUGGCGCGCCCUCCAGCUUGAAUGGCAUUUGUCCAAGCGCGAUAUCCUGACGCUGUACCUGAACCGCGCGCCGUUCGGCGGCACGCUACAGGGUAUUGGCGCUGCAAGCUGGGCCUACUUCGGCAAGCCGCCCGCGCGCCUGAGCUACGCUGACGCGGCGCUGCUGGCCGUAUUGCCGCAGGCGCCGAGCCGGUUACGCCCCGACCGCUGGCCUGCGAGAGCCGAAGCGGCACGAAAUAAAGUGCUGGAUCGGAUGGCGGCGCAGGGCGUCUGGCCUGCCGAAACGGUACGCGAGUCGCGUGAAGAGCCGGUCUGGCUGGCGCCGCGUCAAAUGCCGCAACUGGCGCCGCUUUUUGCCCGAAUGAUGUUGAGUAAAAGCCGGAGCGACAAAAUUGUGACCACGCUGGACGCCGGGUUGCAGCGGCAACUGGAAGAUCUGGCGCGGGCAUGGAAAGGGCGGCUGCCUGCACGCAGUUCAUUGGCGAUGAUCGUCGUCGAUCAUACCGAUAUGAGCGUGCGCGGCUGGGUAGGAUCGGUAGACCUUAAUGACGACAGCCGUUUUGGUCAUGUCGACAUGGUAACGGCGAUCCGAUCGCCGGGAUCGGUACUCAAACCCUUUGUGUACGGUCUGGCGCUGGAUGACGGCUUGAUCCAUCCCGCAUCAUUAUUACAGGACGUUCCGCGCCGCACCGGAGAUUACCGCCCGGGAAACUUCGACAGCGGAUUUCACGGCCCGGUCAGCAUGAGCGACGCGCUGGUACGCUCGCUGAAUCUGCCUGCCGUUCAGGUGCUUGAAGCCUAUGGGCCGAAACGAUUUGCGGCAAAACUGCGUAACGUCGGCCUGCCGCUAUAUUUGCCUGCUGGCGCGGCGCCCAAUCUUUCGCUGAUUCUGGGCGGCGCGGGCGCGCGGCUUGACGAGAUGGCGGCGGCAUACAGCGCGUUCGCUCGUCAUGGGAAAGCGGCGAAACUACGGUUACAGCCGGACGAUCCGCUGUCGGAAAGACCAUUAAUGUCGCCGGGAGCGGCGUGGAUCAUUCGGCGGAUUAUGGCGGAUGAAGCGCAACCCUUGCCGGAUAACGCGCUGCCGCGCAUUGUGCCGUUGGCGUGGAAAACCGGCACCAGCUACGGCUAUCGCGAUGCGUGGGCUAUUGGCGUUAACGCGCGCUAUAUCAUCGGCAUCUGGACAGGCAGACCCGACGGCACACCUGUGGUGGGGCAAUUUGGUUUUGCCAGCGCGGUGCCAUUGCUUAACCAGGUCAAUAAUCUGUUACUGGCGCAUACGGGACGCCUGCCGGAAGAUCCGCGUCCGCAGACGGUAAGCCGCGGCGUCAUUUGCUGGCCGGGCGGACAGACUCUGCCUGCCGGAGACAGCAACUGUCGCCGCCGACUGGCGACAUGGCUGCUCGAUGACAGCCAGCCGCCCACGCUGCUGUUACCUGAGCAGGAAGACAUCAACGGUAUUCGUUUCCCGGUCUGGCUGGAUGAUACGGGGCGGCGUGUCGCUGCCGACUGUCCGCAGGCGUGUGCGCAUACGUUUAUCGUCUGGCCGCGGCCGCUGGAGCCGUGGCUGCCGCCUGCGGAAAGACGUAGCGCCCGCUUGCCCGCGGCGUCCGACCACUGUCCGCCGCUACAGGGCAGUGAUGCCGCGCCGUUAAUGCUGUCAGGAGUGAGGGAUGGCGCGGUGAUCAGGCAAUUGCCAGGCCAGGAAAACGUUACGCUGCCCGUCUCGACUACCGGCGGUAAAGGGCGUCGCUGGUGGUUUUUAAAUGGCGAACCUGUUAAUGGCGAAAAUAAUCGCCUUUCUUUAUUACUCAAUAUCGCUGGACGUUAUCAACUUGUCGUAAUGGAUGAGUCCGGUCAGGUUGCUGCGGUUAAUUUUGAAUUAAUACGUUAACAACUCUUCAGAAUAAAUUAUGAAUUUCAUUUAAUUUAAAGUUAAUGAGAAUUAUUAAUUUUUCCGGAAUUACCCUUAAUGAGGGAGCUUGAUAAAUAUCAAGAGAUCUAACACUUAAAAACGUGAGAAUGGGUUUUUAUUUGACGAGUCGGAUCAUGAAAAAUAUAAAAAGCCAGGGAAAUGGCGAACAGCCCGCUAUUUCUCGCCGCCACUUUAUCCAGGCCAGCUCCGCGCUUAUUGCGUUACCGUUUGUCUCCUCGCCAGCUACCGCUCAGGCGCGCGCUGUGACGGCCACUGAAAACAGGCCUGCGGAAAAAGUCGUUCAGACAUGCAGCACUUUUGACUGCGGGGGCAAAUGCGAUAUUCGGGCGCAUGUUAGUGACGGUAUCGUGACGCGAAUUUCAACGCGACCGGAUAAUGCGCUGGAUGCGCAAAUGCCGGUGAUGCGUGCCUGUGUUCGUGGACGCGCAUACCGUAAAUUUGUUUAUCACCCCGAUAGACUUAAAUAUCCCAUGAAGCGUGUAGGAAAACGCGGUGAAGGAAAGUUCGAGCGAAUUUCCUGGGAUGAAGCGACAACCUUAAUCGCCGAUAAUUUAAAAUCGAUUACUGAAAAAUAUGGCCCGGCUUCGCGCUAUGUUCAUGUUGGCACCGCCGUUUCCGGCGGCACCUUUUCCGGCGAUAAAAUGGCGCGUCGCCUGCUGAAUCUGACCGGCGGCUAUCUCGAAAGCUACCAUUCUGUGAGUAUGGGCAAUACGGCGGCCGCGACGCCUUAUACU
rnacentral:rRNA from 1 species